AACGAACGCUGGCGGCAUGCUUAACACAUGCAAGUCGAACGAGACGUUCGGGCCUUUUUGCGGACGGGUGCGUACGGCGGGGGAAGUUGCACUUAGGUUCGGAACAACUCCCCGAAAGGGGUCUUAAUACCGGAUAAUGUCUUAGCACCUUAGAUUUAUUGCCUUGGGGUGGGGCCGGGUUGGAUUAGCUAGUUGGUAGGGUAAUAGCCUACCAUGGCGUGGUUCCUUAGCUGGUCUGGGAGGAUGAUCAGCCACGCUGGGACUGAGACACGGCCCAGACUGGUACGGGAGGGAGGGGAAGAGAAUAUUAGACGAGGGGCGAAGGUCUGAUCAAGCAAUGCGGCGUGAGUGAUGAAGGCCUUAGGGUUGUGAAGCUGUUUUAGCCGGGAUGAUAGUGACGGUACCGGGAGAAUAAGCACCGGCUAACUCCGUG
rnacentral:rRNA from 1 species